GUUGCACAAUGGGCGGAGGCCUGAUGCAGCGACGCCGCGUGAGGGAUGACGGCCUUCGGGUUGUAAACCUCUUUCAGCACGGAAGAAGCGAAAGUGACGGUACGUGCAGAAGAAGCGCCGGCUAACUACGUGCCAGCAGCCGCGGUAAUUCGUAGGGCGCAAGCGUUGUCCGGAAUUAUUGGGCGUAAAGAGCUCGUAGGCGGUUUGUCGCGUCUGCUGUGAAAGCCCGGGG
rnacentral:rRNA from 1 species